rnacentral:rRNA from 1 species
UACAGAGGUCUCAAGCGUUGUUCGGAUUCAUUGGGCGUAAAGGGUGCGUAGGUGGCGCCAUAAGUCAGGUGUGAAAUCUCGGGGGCUCAACCCCGAAACUGCACUUGAUACUGUGGUGCUCGAGUACUGGAGAGGAGAUUGGAAUUUACGGUGUAGCAGUGAAAUGCGUAGAGAUCGUAAGGAAGACCAGUGGCGAAGGCGAGUUUCUGGACAGUAACUGACGCUGAGGCACGAAGGCCAGGGGAGCAAACAGG